rnacentral:rRNA from 14 species
UGUUGGGUUAAGUCCCGCAACGAGCGCAACCCUCGCCCUUAGUUGCCAGCAUUUAGUUGGGCACUCUAAGGGAACUGCCGGUGAUAAGCCGGAGGAAGGCGGGGAUGACGUCAAGUCCUCAUGGCCCUUAUGCCUUGGGCUACACACGUAAUACAAUGGUGCAUACAAUGGGAAGCGACCUGGUGACAGUGAGCAAAUCUCAAAAAGUGCAUCUCAGUCCGGAUUGGAGUCUGCAACUCGACUCCAUGAAGUCGGAAUCGCUAGUAAUCGCGAAUCAGAA